rnacentral:rRNA from 1 species
UACGUAGGCAGCGAGCGUUGUUCGGAGUUACUGGGCGUAAAGAGUGCGUAGGCGGUUUUCUAAGUUUGGUGUGAAAUCUCCCGGCUUAACUGGGAGGGUGCGCCGAAAACUGGAAGGCUUGAGUAUGGGAGAGGUAUGCGGAAUUCCUGGUGUAGCGGUGAAAUGCGUAGAUAUCAGGAGGAACACCUGCGGUGUAGACGGCUUACUGGACCAUAACUGACGCUGAGGCACGAAAGCGUGGGUAGCAAACAGG